CUUUCUCUCUCUCUCUCUUUCUCCUCUCUCUCUCUCUCUCUCUCUCUCUCUCUCUCUCUCUCUCUCUCUCUCUCUCUCUCUCUCUCUCUAUGGAGUGGCACUGCGACACAGAGUGAUUGAACCUUUAGAUAUUGAGGCAGGCGGAGAUCAAAAACGUCCUGUAGUUAUUGAUUUGUAGGGACGGAGAGGUGCCUGAGGAAUGAUUUGUAGGGAAGGAGAGGUGCCUGAGGAAUGAUUUGUAGGGAGGGAGAGGUGCCUGAGGAAUGAUUUGUAGGGAAGGAGAGGUGCCUGAGGAAUGAUUUGUAGGGAAGGAGAGGAGCCUGAGGAAUGAUUUGUAGGGACGGAGAGGUGCCUGAGGAAUGAUUUGUAGGGAAGGAGAGGUGCCUGAGGAAUGAUUUGUAGGGAAGGAGAGG
ensembl:lncRNA